rnacentral:rRNA from 1 species
GACGAACGCUGGCGGCGUGCUUAACACAUGCAAGUGGAGCGACGAACCAGGCUUCGGCCUGGGGGCAGAGCCGCGAACGGGUGAGUAACACGUGGGUAACCUGCCCUGAUGAUCGGGACAACCCGGGGAAACCCGGGCUAAUACCGAAUGUGCCCGCAAGCCACAAGGCUUGCGAGGAAAGGAAGCUUCGGCCUCCGCAUCGGGAUGGGCCCGCGGCCCAUUAGCUUGUUGGUGGGGUAACGGCCUACCAAGGCAGCAAUGGGUAGCUGGUCUGAGAGGACGAUCAGCCACACUGGGACUGAGACACGGCCCAGACUCCUACGGGAGGCAGCAGUGGGGAAUCUUGCGCAAUGCGCGAAAGCGUGACGCAGCAACGCCGCGUGGGGAA